CAUCAAGAGUUUGUAGGAGAAUCAUGAUGAUGAUCAGUUGCAAUGUGAACUACCAAAUAACCAUGAAGUACAAGCAGAUCCAAUUAAUGUGGAACAAAUAAAGGAGAAUCAUGAUGAUGAUGAGCUGCUAUGUAAACUACCAAAUAACCAUGAAGUACAACCAGAUUCAAAGCAUAUGGAACAA